ACCUGUCACUGCCCGGCGGCCCGGCCCGGCAGUGGGAGAGCGGGCGCCCCCAGCCCGGGCCGGCGCGGCGCUUCAGGUCUUAUGACGAAAAUGCAGACGGCAUUCGCGGCAGGAUGCUACUUUGCCGGAACUUUUACCAGCCAUUAUCUUUACGUCUAAUGAAACUCUGGAUUGUAUUUGAUGGGCUCCGCGUGGAUCCUGUGUCAGUUCCCAUCAUUGCGCUCCGUGUAAACAGGAGGCGUCCUACGUUGCUCCAAAGUAGGGCUUUGGUGGGUUUUUUUUUUUCAUCCUGCAUUUUAUCGACCCGCACUCUUUUAUUGUCAUCGAAGCAAAGAGAAUAAUUAUUAUUGGACACCGUAACCUUCAGGGAAAAUUUUUUUAAAGCAAGACACUUCAAAAUUUGAGAGCCGGAUGAUUUUUCUACACUGGAAGAAAAUGCUGCUUCAACAUAGCCAUGGGUUGACACUUAUAAUUUGUCCUCUGAAAAACUUUAUACAAUUGAAUUAUAUGAAGACCUAUAAUGCUCCUGUCAAACCAAAAAAAGAAGACUUAAAAAAAGAGGAAAAGAUGUAUUGUUAGAAGAGAUUUAGAUAGAUGUGAUGGCUACCAUGUGGCUUAUAUUACACACGAAAAUGAGUAUCUAGAGAGCUCUUUGCAGCAGAAUAUUUUAAAAAUCCGGAAGACUGUUGCGGUGGUUUUAAUAGGUUUGACAGCAAAUUUUCAAAUACUUGCCAAGAUACAAAAAUGUCCUGUAUCUCCACUUUUCUCCCCGGGGGAUACCUAGUAAAAAUGAUCACUAUUCUUAAUUACUGAAUUGGAUGGGAACUGUUAUUGGCUUAAGGCACAGAAACAAAGUGCUAUCUUUCAGGCUGGCUUCGCUACCACCCUCUGGGGUGGGGAGAAAACGGAUUGCAGGUCGCCAAAAUUAUCCUCAAACUCUAAUACUGACAGCUCACCUCCCAUGCAGCAGAUGGACAUUCAUCUACAUGUCCUAUACUAAGACGAUGCAUUUAUUCAUUCAGUGAACAAACAUUUUUUGAGACUUCACGGCCCUCUAAGUAUGCUGCUAAUUACUCAGCACCCACAGGACUCCCGGAGGAGAUUACAUGGUGGGAGCAGGACCGGCGGAUGGCAACUGCCACACCUGGGAUUGAAGUCAAAGUUACCAGUGGGUGAUGGACAAAGAAACGUUGACAGGGAGGAAGGCAUUCAAGAGAGAGACUGCGUGAACUGCCUUUGCUCCUAUGACCCAAGGAAGGAACUUAUUGCUAUACUCAUCUGAAACGUAAUAUUAGCGAAAUAAAACUUUUACUUUCA